rnacentral:snoRNA from 1 species
CCCUGUAUCGAAAGUGAUCAUGGCGUCCCUGUGGCCAGGUCAUUGAUAGUACAGGAAGAUGAAGCUGCGAGCCUUUCCCGUGUCUGAAGGAGCCCCUCUUCCUCUCAGACCCUGGUGCUCGCAGACA